rnacentral:tRNA from 1 species
GAGGGUAUAGCUCAGUGGUAGAGUGCAUGCUUAGCACGCACGAAGUCCUGGGUUCAAUCUCCAAUACAUCUA